UUGGUGUAGUGAUGGUGGGUGAGGCUAUAUAAGCUGGUUCUCUCGGGCGGGCGCUUCACCGUAGCUUUGUCCGCCAAGCUUUUAACACCGUUUUUCCAGCAACGUCCCCAGCAUCAUAGAUGAAGGGAGGCACUUUAGAGGGUCCUUCACUUCGCCUGAGAUUGGAGUCAACCCUGGCUAGCAACAGAGGCAGCCGCCUGGCCAAUUGUGGUAACCAGCUUGAACUCAGCGUACUUUCUCAGCUUCACAACGUUCCUUGAGGUCCCUCAAAGAAAACUGGCUGUUCUGCUUCGAUAGAAAUCUUCGUAAGUUCGGGCCAAUCAUUCUCCUGAUCAGGAGUGAAAUCCUGCCGUCAGCAGCAUAUAUAAAAGCUUGUGGUUUCACGUUCACUCGGCUCACAACACUCGCCGCCAAGAUGGUCCAAGAGCAGAGCUACAACCACACCAAAUGUGUCGCUGAUCACCACGCAAAAAAGUCUGCCUACAAAACCAUGGAGAUAGGCGGCUACGUACAGACCCCUAAGAACGUGAGUGCGACUGUAAACAAGGACAAGGACAAGAGCAAGGACCAAGGCCAGAAGGACGUGUGGGGACCCGUAUUCAAGAACAAACAACACUUCGUUGACAUGCAUAUCUGCUAGGACCAUCCACAGCCUAGCCUGGCUAGUGCUAAAUACACAUCGAAACUAACCCACAAACUAGUAACGAAAACUGGAUAUUUCAGCCUUGCCUAGGCAACAUCAAGAUUCUAGACAGACCAAAAUGACAAAAGUUUUAGCUUUCAUUUAAUGGGUUAGUUGUAAAAUGCAAGUCACAAAUCCGACUCCUAGCUUACAUAAAACUUAUUCAUAUAAUCAGUUACUCCAAAGAAUAAGGCACAGUACCGUAGAACAAUACACAAAUAAUCCACACGCGGGAGAAUGACACGACGUCAUGUUUCAUUCUCCAAUGUGUGGGUUAGUUGUGUAUCUAUUAUUGCAGUUGUAUGUUAAGACAAUAUGUAGUUUGUAGCAUUUUAUUGAAAGAUGUUUCGCCCACCUGGGACUUCAUCAGUUCUUUACACUGAUAAGAAUUAAGUCCCUGGUGGGCGAAACGUCUUUUCAAUAAAGUGUGAACAACCUCAUGUGUUGUUGACAUUUGUUGGUAUAUAAUACCACUGGUAAACAUUUUCAUGAUAACCCUCGUUCCCAUUAGUGUGUUCCACAAUUAUUUAAACUUUUUUUUUAGCCACUCCUGGUCACUUGUAUGCUGCCAUUCUUAUGUUCAUGUGAGUGAAAAGAGCUGGAAUUGAUUAGUACCUGAGGUGGUAUUAGAAAACCGAUAAGUUGAAGAAUGAGACACUGCAUUAUUAAGGAAUCUUUAUUGAGCUUCUGAAGCAAAUUCUUGGGUAGCUUUGGGAAAUGGUUUGACUAAUAGGUGGGUGGGAAAGGUUGGUUUUGAGAACUUGCUUUUUGUGGGCCAGUAGAUCUGCUGCAGUGUCCCUCCAUUCUUAUGUAAAUCCUUUUGCAUCUCAUUAAAAUUAUUAUAUUCAUGGGGAGCACUAAACCCAUAGGGAUCAUACUGUGCUUCGGGGAAUGGAAGGCUAAAUAUUCAGGCUUGAUUCAAGGAACAUGGAGCACCAGUUCAAGGAACCUCCCUUGAGGGGCCUUGCAUCUCAUAAUUCAUUAAUUUUUCUGUGUGUUUUUUUUAAUGUAUUUUGAUUGUGCUUUCUUGACGUGAAGGAUUCAGCUCAUUGUAAUUCUUCUCAUUAUUUUCCUUUAACUGAAGUGUAAUGAUCACUUGUCAAUGUUCAGUAAUAACUCGCAUGACAGAAACUCAAGAUUAAUUGAUCACCUUCUGGGAUCCUCUUCAGCAGAAGAGGAUAUACAGAUCACUCAAUCUUCUGAGUUUGUCUUCAUGUGGGUUAUUUUGAGCAUUUAUCUUUAAGCUUAUGGAGCUCGGGUUAAUCUUUCUGAAAUAUGGAGCACAGGUCAUGUGGGAACUCAUGACCUCUAAGUUAAAUUUCACCAUUAACGUUGAGCUGUAUGUUAUCCUGCGUUCAUCACGCUAGCCUUGACCAACUGGAUAAUGCUUGAAACUCUAAAGGUAAAAUAUAUACCGAGGCUGUCAAUUUGUGUUUUGUAUAUUCUGAGGUUUAACAAAUAUGAAAGCAAAUAAAUUAAUAAAGAUUC